rfam:Glycine soja cultivar W05 scaffold6775_7, whole genome shotgun sequence.
GAGUGUCACGUCAUCACACCCAAUCAUUGACAUGUCACUAUCACAUCAUCACCUUCAAUGACGUGACGAUGACGUGUUAGUGAUUGGGUGUGAUGAUGUGACACUGUCU